rnacentral:misc_RNA from 1 species
GAAAUGCGAUAAGUAGUGUGAAUUGCAGAAUUUAGCGAAUCAUCGAAUCUUUGAACGCACAUUGCGCCCCUUGGUAUUCCAUGGGGCAUGCCUGUUCGAGCGUCAUUUCAACCCUCAAGCACUGCUUGGUGUUGGGCGUUUGUCCCGCCUACGCGCGUGGACUCGCCUCAAAGUCAUUGGCGGCUGUUCCCCUUCGGCUCGUAAGCGCAGCACAGUCGGCGCCCGGAGCUCUGGUGGGAUGGCGUCCAGCAAGCUAUAUUUUCAGGCUUGACCUCGGAUCAGGUAGGGAUACCUGCUGAACUUAAGC